rnacentral:lncRNA from 1 species
UCGAAAUCUCGGAUUCUUCAAUCUUCGACAAUCACACACCGAACCCUUCAAGACUCCGACUCAAAUCACGAAACUUGCCAACACAAAAUUCCUAACAUGACUAUUUAUAGUUCUGCUCGUUAUUUAUUCAGUUACUCCCCACUAUCGACUAUGUCCCUACUUCUGCGGGCCACUCUUGGCCGAUCCUAGCCGCAUCAACUU